UCAUUAAUUAAAAAGUUAUAGCCACUUGUAAUUAAAAUAAAUAAACUAAAACCUAAAUGCUCUUCUUUUUCGUUGCUUUACCUUGCAGCGCCGCUGGUCAAUCUGUUCUACGCUUCCAAACACGAACCGUACGCUUCUCAUGCGCUUCCAAAUCAAAGUUUUUGGAAUCUCGAUUCCGCCACGCUUCCAGGCGAUUCCGAGCGUUUCCGAUUCCCAUUCCGAUUCUGAAGCGGGAAUCGGAGCUUCAAUGACGAUUCCGUGUAAAAACACAGAGUUUCAUCGACAGAUCUGAAGAAUCAGUGUCAAUGGCGAUGUCAGAGGUGGUGGAUCUGAAGACCCUAGUGUCAACAACGACAUCGGAGGUGGUGAUCUGAAGACCCUUGUGUCAACGAUGACGUCGGAGAUGGUGGUGGAAGUGAAGGACCACCGAAGAUGCUCGCACCUUUUACCACCGCCACUACGUUUUGAAGCUUCCGCCAGUUUACCACCAAUACAUCUCGGCCGCCGCCGUCGUUUUGUUCUCCGUUGCUCCGUCGCCGCAAUAAUACAUAUCCGUAGCUCUGGCCGAUGCCAUCUAUAGAUAUAGUUGUAUAGAUAUAUAUUUAUUAUACAUAUAAUGAAUUUAAGAAACAAAUAAAAACUAUUAUUAAUUUA